UACGGGGGGGGCAAGCGUUGUUCGGAAUUACUGGGCGUAAAGGGCUCGUAGGUGGCCAACUAAGUCAGACGUGAAAUCCCUCGGCUUAACCGGGGAACUGCGUCUGAUACUGGAUGGCUUGAGUUCGGGAGAGGGAUGCGGAAUUCCAGGUGUAGCGGUGAAAUGCGUAGAUAUCUGGAGGAACACCGGUGGCGAAGGCGGCAUCCUGGACCUACACUGACACUGAGGAGCGAAAGCCAGGGGAGCAAACGGG
rnacentral:rRNA from 1 species